rnacentral:rRNA from 1 species
UGCAAGUCGAACGAUGAUGCCCAGCUUGCUGGGUGGAUUAGUGGCGAACGGGUGAGUAACACGUGAGUAACCUGCCCCUGACUCUGGGAUAAGCGUUGGAAACGACGUCUAAUACUGGAUAUGAUCACCGGCCGCAUGGUCUGGUGGUGGAAAGAUUUUUUGGUUGGGGAUGGACUCGCGGCCUAUCAGCUUGUUGGUGAGGUAAUGGCUCACCAAGGCGACGACGGGUAGCCGGCCUGAGAGGGUGACCGGCCACACUGGGACUGAGACACGGCCCAGACUCCUACGGGAGGCAGCAGUGGGGAAUAUUGCACAAUGGGCGAAAGCCUGAUGCAGCAACGCCGCGUGAGGGAUGACGGCCUUCGGGUUGUAAACCUCUUUUAGUAGGGAAGAAGCGAGAAACGGCCAGAGAUGGUCGCCCCCUUGUGGUCGGUGUACAGGUGGUGCAUGGUUGUCGUCAGCUCGUGUCGUGAGAUGUUGGGUUAAGUCCCGCAACGAGCGCAACCCUCGUUCUAUGUUGCCAGCGGGUUAUGCCGGGGACUCAUAGGAGACUGCCGGGGUCAACUCGGAGGAAGGUGGGGAUGACGUCAAAUCAUCAUGCCCCUUAUGUCUUGGGCUUCACGCAUGCUACAAUGGCCGGUACAAAGGGCUGCGAUACCGUAAGGUGGAGCGAAUCCCAAAAAGCCGGUCUCAGUUCGGAUUGAGGUCUGCAACUCGACCUCAUGAAGUCGGAGUCGCUAGUAAUCGCAGAUCAGCAACGCUGCGGUGAAUACGUUCCCGGGCCUUGUACACACCGCCCGUCAAGUCAUGAAAGUCGGUAACACCCGAAGCCGG